UGAGGAAUAUUGGUCAAUGGGCGAGAGCCUGAACCAGCCAAGUAGCGUGCAGGAUGACGGCCCUAUGGGUUGUAAACUGCUUUUAUGUGGGGAUAAAGUGCGUGACGUGUCAUGCAUUGCAGGUACCACAUGAAUAAGGACCGGCUAAUUCCGUGCCAGCAGCCGCGGUAAUACGGAAGGUCCGGGCGUUAUCCGGAUUUAUUGGGUUUAAAGGGAGCGUAGGCUGUCUAUUAAGCGUGUUGUGAAAUUUACCGGCUCAACCGGUGGCUUGCAGCGCGAACUGGUCGACUUGAGUAUGCAGGAAGUAGGCGGAAUUCAUGGUGUAGCGGUGAAAUGCUUAGAUAUCAUGACGAACUCCGAGUGCGCAGGCAGCUUACUGUAGCAUAACUGACGCUGAUGCUCGAAAGUGCGGGUAUCAAACAGG
rnacentral:rRNA from 1 species